CUGGAAUGAUGUGAAUUAGCCAAAUCAGACAUUAUUGUGCUCCAUGACGCAUCCAGCUUUAUUUGUUUCGAUCAUGUUGAAGCGCAUUUCUCUGAUGAUAAACAAAGAGAUUGGUUUUUCUAUUCCUGACCAGA